rnacentral:misc_RNA from 1 species
UAAGCAACGUUGGGCCUGGUUAGUACUUGGAUCGGAGACGGCCUGGGAAUCCCAGGUGUUGUAGACAUUUUUGCUCUUUGCAGUAACACAAAACAACUCAUUUCUCACAGCGCAAAUGUAAUAAUUGAGAGAGGGAGAUUUUUCCAACGGUUUAAUUACCCAAGUUUGAGGUAAUUGAAUGUUUCAGCCCAGAGUUUCGGCUCAUGUGGCUUGAAAAUAAAUUUUGGAACGUCCUGUGCUAAACGGGACAAAAAAAGAAAAAGGUGUAUAUUACAUACAUGUACAGAUCUAUCUAAUGCGAGAAAAAUUUACUCUAGAUGAGAGAAAGAGUAUUGCUGUCUACGACCAUACCACGUUGAAAGCACGACAUCUCGUCCGAUCUGUC